rnacentral:rRNA from 1 species
GCUGGCGGCGUGCCUAACACAUGCAAGUCGAACGAGAAAGUAGAUUUCGGUUUACGAGUAAAGUGGCAUACGGGUGAGUAACACGUGGGCAACCUGCCCGGAGGUGGGGGACAACUCUCCGAAAGGAGAGCUAAUACCGCAUGACAUCCCGAGGACCUCGGUCCACGGGUUCAAAGUUUGCCUCUGUUUCAUGCAAACGCCACCGGAGGGACCCGCGCCCCAUUAGCUUGAUGGUGAGGUAACGGCUCACCAUGGCUCCGAUGGGUAGCCGGCCUGAGAGGGUGAUCGGCCACACUGGAACUGAGACACGGUCCAGACUCCUACGGGAGGCAGCAGUGAGGAAUUUUGCGCAAUGGGCGAAAGCCUGAC